ensembl:lncRNA
UGAAAACGUCAGUGUGGUAAAUUUCCCACAAAUAUUAGGAGUGAGAAAUAUGCAAUGUCUCACAAUAAGUAGCAGGUCCAAUUAGAGAGGAAUUUCCGUGCAGAUUAUCGAGUGCUGCUGCUCCAAACCAGGGAGCCACAGGCUGAGGACAUGACAAUGGCGGCGGACGCUCGCCUCGCCUGAGCUGAGGAAAGAAAGCGGGAGCUGCGUGACAAACUCCUCAGCCCGGCUGACUCCAGAAAGGAAACCAUGAAUCCAGAAGAAGUAAGACAACACCUAAAUGACAGCACAUCCAAUGACAAGUUGUACUCCACGCUCCCAAAGUCACGCGACAUCUUAGCCGCAACUCUAUCGCAACGAUUGAUGGGCUGUGAAGAAAACUGUG